UCCCUGUGGAAAUGGACUUUUCAACUCCUAAGCGAAAGGCCGUGGGUUCGAAUCCCGCCAGGGACGCCA
rnacentral:tRNA from 1 species